rnacentral:piRNA from 1 species
UAGUAUUAGUUAUCUUCAAUCAGCUCCUUGC